UCCCUGGUGGUCCAGUGGUUAGGACUCUGAGCUUUCACCACUGAGGGCCAGGGUUCAGUCCCUGGUCUGGGAA
rnacentral:tRNA from 1 species